AGCGUCCACUAGCGGCGUCACCGUGAAUAUUCAAGCGUUUGUUUCUCAUAGGAGGGCUCGAGGUUUGCGUUAACGUACGAAUGCAGUUGGUCUCCUGUCAGCGGAUAAGGCUGGUUCAUUUUGCCCGAAGGGGAAAAACAAAGCAAGGAGUGAACUUUCUAACAAGCUGGAGAAGAGUAGAUGUACCUGGACGCGAGAGGAACCCCAUUCGGGUUGAAACUCUCCCUCUGGCUCCUGUGAGAUAUGCAGAUGCUUUGAACGCGUUCACAAGCUACAGCUGUUUGUGGUCAAGCACUACAUUAUUAAUCACGACAAUUUCUUUUUUUUUUCUCGGUUUCGGAGCUUUUCUCAGACCGCAGCCACAGGAGAAUCCUUGAAGUGUGUGCGGCGCGGCGUGUGAGGGCCCGUGUCUCCCUUUAAGGCGAAGCAGAAGAAAUCUCAUUAAUAUCUGAGGGCGUCCAUGAAGGUCUGAGCGAUGACAGACAGAGAGGCGUCCACGACCUCGCUCACGUGCACGUCGAAAAUGAAGUGAGGGUUCUUCAGUAUGUUCACCCAGAAACGCAACGGCAGACUGCGGAGAGAAGAGGCUUCGUGAAUAUCGGUUGCUAGGGCUCAGGUCCCCGCUUCAAUGUAACGCAUGAGUUCGUUUCUCCUUUUUAUCAUUCUCCAGUCAAAAACAAUGACCGAGUCAAGUAACAGAGGAGUCGUUGGUGUCAAACGGUGCGGCUCGCAUUAUGUGCCAGAGUUUAAUAAUCACGGGCAGGGUUUUGUUUUAAAUCUCCAACCCUCGGGAAGAGCAACGGAGACGCUCUCCUUAGCAAACACAGCUAAUUACCGUAUGUACUUAAUCCAUUUUAUACCCAGUCUCUCCUGCAGUCGGAGCAUAAACUCGGUACGGAGCAAAUAAUUCACUCAAUCCGCCCCUCAAUACUCACGCCGUCGGAGCAUGAACACGGACAGACGGCUCUGGAAUUUCAAACAGGUUAUUAAACAGCUCCGGCUUUUGUUUCCUGUGAGCCGCUUUAAAAAAAAAAAAACCUCAUUCAGAUGACUGCUUCUGGAAUAUAUAUUGGCUAGUCGCAUCUCUGCGGAGAAACAAAAGGUGUAUAAUAACAGAACAAUUAAAUUAACCAGGGACGUAAUUAAGGUGUUUGUUUGGCUGAGAGCGGUUUUAUAUUUAAUAGAAGCUGCUGGAGUGAUGAUAUUGCUAGUCGCAUUUACUCGCAUCUCGGCGGCAGCUGUCAAUCACGCCGCAUCCGCGCAGCACAUCAGGCGGAAUAAAUGAAUGCGGCGCUGGCAUUAGCAUAUGCCGAGCGCUCUCCGGAGAGAAGAGACAAUCAGAGAGCAGAGACGCCCGCUGCGACUAGCGCUCGC